rnacentral:lncRNA from 1 species
GGGACUACACGGGACACGUGUCCCCUAGGCAAACCCAGGAGGGGUCACGCAUGUCCCCAGGAUGACACGGGAUGGGCCACGCGUGUCCCUGGGGCGACACAGGACGGGACACACGUGUCCCUGGGGUGACACGGGACAGGACACGUGUGUCCCUGGGGCAACACGGGAUGGGACACACGUGUCCCCAGGGCCUACACGGGACACGUGUCCCCUGGGCAGACCCGGGAGGGGUCACAUGUGUCCCCAAGAUGACACGGGAUGGGCCACGCAUGUCCCUGGGACGACACAGGAUGGGACACGCGUGUCCCUGGGGUGACACGUGAGGGGACACACAUGUCCCCGGGGUGACACGGGAUGGGACACGCGUGUCCCCAGAGCCUACACGGGACACGUGUCCCCUGGGCAGACCCGGGAGGGGUCACGCGUGUCCCCAGGAUGACACGGGAUGGGCCACGCGUGUCCCUGGGACGACACGGGACAGGACACGCGUGUCCCCGGGGUGACACGGGACAGGACCCGCGUGUCCCCAGGGUGACACGGGAGGGGCCACGCGUGUCCCCGGGGCUCACAGGAAGUAGUCGGCCACGGGCUUCUUGGAGGGGAUGCCGCGGGUCUCCUGCGGCGCCGCCUCGAAGAUGAUGAACUCCUUCUGCAGGUGCUCGUCCAGCUCCAAGAUGGCCGCCACGUUGCCGCACCUGCGGGGGGGGGGACAACGGGGGACACGGCGGGGUGACGGGGACCGCGACACCGCGGGGCGCCCAAGCACAUCACCCGAUCGAGCGGCCCUGGUCACAUCACUCGAUCCCCGGCCUUGGUCGUGUCGCCCGAUUCCUGCUUAUGUCACCCGAUCCCUGGCCCUGGUCGUGUCACCCGAACCUGGUCGUGUCACCCAACUGAGCGGCCCUGGUCAUGUCACCCGAUCCCUGGCCUUGGUCAUGUCACCUGAUCCUGGUUAUGUCACCCGAUUGAGCGGCCCUGGUCAUGUCACCCGAUCCCUGGCCUUGGUCAUGUCACCUGAUCCUGGUUAUGUCACCCAACUGAGCGGCCCUGGUCACGUCACCUGGUUCCUGGCCCUGGUCGUGUCACCCGAUUGAGCAGCCCUGGUUAUGUCACCCGAUUCCUGGCCUUGGUCGUGUCACCCGAUCCUGGUCAUGUCACCCAACUGAGCGGCCCUGGUCAUGUCACCUCAUUCCUGGCCCUGGUCAUGUCACCCGAUUGAGUGRCCCUGGUCAUGUCACCCAAUCCCUGGCCUUGGUCACGUCACCUGAUCCUGGUCACCGUCACGUCAACGGAUUGGCCCUGGUCAUGUCACCCCAUUGAGUGACCUUGAUCAUGUCACCCAAUCCUGGUUAUGUCACCCGAUUGAACAGCCCUGGUCGUGUCACCUGAUCCUGGUCACGUCACCUGAUUGAGCAGCUUUGGUCAUGUCACUCGAUCCCUGGCUUUGGUCUUGUCACCCAAACCUGGUCAUGUCACCCGAUUGAGUGGCUUUGGUCAUGUCACCCAAUUCCUGGCCCUGGUCACAUCACCCGAUCCUGGUCACGUCACCUGAUUGAGCAGCCUUGGUCAUGUCACCCGAUCCCUAGCCUUAGUCAUGUCACCCGAUCCUGGCCACGUCACCCGAUCCCGGUCAAAUCACCCAACCGCUCAGUCUCGGUCACACCCGAGCCGUGUCCUUGAUCACGUCACCCGACCACACGGCCUUGGUCACGUCCCCCGAUCCCCAUCC